GCGAAAUGAGAGCUUUGGUUGUUAAAAAGCUCUCCGUCACUGGCCAUUGCCUUUCCCUCUCACACAUGAUGGUGGAUCGACACAUAAGUUUGAUACUCAUUUUGCAUCUUCCAUGGCCGCUUCGCCGCUAUGUUUUCACUCGAAGCACCAUCGCCAGAUUUUCCUUCCAAAUUCUGUCUACUUUGUUUGAUAUGUUGAUAUUGUACUGAUGGUGCGAGAUCUCUAGCAAAGUUGAACGUCAUCGAGCAACAACGAACGAUCUCCUGCAAUCUAGGUGGUAUGAUAUGUGUGUCUAUUUGAAAAAACAAGGAUUUCUUGAUUGGUAUGAUACAGGUAAUGCGAGAGGUGAUGAUAGUUGCGCUACAUCUCUGAUUGUACAUGUCUGUGUGGUUGGUUGAGAUAAAAGGUGGAUGCAGACUUGAGAAAGUGGUGACAGUGGCGAUCGUGUUUGGUGCGGGUGAUAGUGAGGUGGAGUGGCCUUUUGGGCGAUGACGGUGGUGGUAGAGUAGUGGUGUGGAGUGGGAUAAGAUGAAGAGUGUUUGUGAACUAUUAUUUGGGUAAUUGUGAUCAAUAAAGUGCGUAAUUUGUAAGUAAUAAAUAAUACGUAACCUAAAACAAUGUAUGAUUUACAACUAAAUUUUUAA
rnacentral:lncRNA from 1 species